UUUCUCUUCUUCUUUCCCUUCUUUCCCUUCCUUCUCCCCCUCUUUCUCUCCUUCUCUCUCAGGAGGAGGGUUCUCUUCAAAAGAGCGAAUAAUGAGAGAGAUCCGUCGAAGAAGAAGAGAGAAAGAU
rnacentral:ribozyme from 13 species